rnacentral:rRNA from 1 species
UCUUUAUGAUUAUAAUUUUAAGUUGUCUCUGCCCAAUGAUUUAAAAUUAAAUGGCUGCAGUAUUUUGACUGUACAAAGGUAGCAUAAUAAAUUGUUUUUUAAUUGAAAACUUGAAUGAAUGAGGUGAUAAAAUAUAAACUUUAUUUAAAUAAAUUAUUGAAUUUAUAUUUUAAGUUAAAAUUCUUAAAUAUAUUUAAGGGACGAGAAGACCCUAUAGAAUUUUAUAUUUUUUUUAUAUAAAUUUAUUUUAAAUAAAAAAAAUAUUUUUUUGGGAGGAAAUUUAAAUUUUUAAACUUUAAUUAUUAUUUUACAUUUAUAAAUGGUUAAAUUUAGAUUUUAAAUUAAUAAAUUUUAAAUUAAAUUACCUUAGGGAUAACAGCGUAAUAUUUUUUGAAAGUUCUUAUAGAAAAAAAUGA